rnacentral:rRNA from 1 species
UAUCUCUGUAGAGUCUGCAUAUCAAUAAGCGGAGGAAAAGAAACUAACUAGGAUUCCCUCAGUAACGGCGAGUGAAGCGGGAAGAGCUCAAAUUUGAAAUCUUCAAGGUUCUACCUUGACGAAUUGUAGUUUAAAGAAGUGUUUUCUGUUGGAGUUUUGGUAAAAGUUCUUUGGAAUAGGACAUCAUAGAGGGUGAGAAUCCCGUAUUUGACCAUUAUUUCCAACUUUGUGAUACACUUUCAAAGAGUCGGAUUGUUUGGGAAUGCAGUCCAAAAUGGGUGGUAAAUUUCAUCUAAAGCUAAAUAUUGGCGAGAGACCGAUAGCGAACAAGUACCGUGAGGGAAAGAUGAAAAGAACUUUGAGAAGAGAGUUAAACAGUACGUGAAAUUGUCAAAAGGGAAGCGUUUGACACCAGUGUUGUUUUCUCGAAAAUCAAUUAAAAAGAGUUGGAUUUUGUGUUGUAUUGACCUUAAUCAGCUUUCUGCACUCUUUUCAUUGUCUUUUUUAAUGCACUUUUCGUUUAACAAGUCAACAUCAAUUUCUUUUGUUGUAAAAGGGUCAUUGGAAGGUGGCUUUCUUUUCGGAGAAAGUGUUUAUAGCCUUUGGCCUCUGCAAUCGGAGAGAUUGAGGUCUGCAGCGUAGAUCCUUCGGGGUUAGAUACAUUUGUGCUAAGUUAUAGCCUUUCAUAGACAACUUGUUGACUAUGAUCAGUCAUGUAGCUUACUCGCUUAUGCUAUUUUACCUACGCUUAGGAUGUUGAGUCAUCACACAUCUCU